AUUGCUUCUCAGCCUUUUGGCUAAGAUCAAGUAUAGAAAUCUGUUUUCUUUGAAGGAUGCUUUUGCUUCUAGUAAUUGGAACAUGAGAACUAUUCCUUGAGUUUCCUUUUGUCUUCCUUAAUUUCAAAGUCAAUCUGAAGCAUA
rnacentral:snRNA from 1 species